rnacentral:rRNA from 1 species
AUUGAACGCUGGCGGCAGGCUUAACACAUGCAAGUCGAGCGGAGCGAGGGUGCUUGCACCUUAGCUUAGCGGCGGACGGGUGAGUAAUGCUUAGGAAUCUGCCUAUUAGUGAGGGACAACAUUCCGAAAGGAAUGCUAAUACCGCAUACGACCUACGGGGGAAAGCAGGGGAUCUUCGGACCUUGCGCUAAUAGAUGAGCCUAGGUCGGAUUAGCUAGUUGGUGGGAUAAAGGCCUACCAAGGCGACGAUCUGUAGCGGGUCUGAGAGGAUGGUCCGCCACACUGGGACUGAGACACGGCCCAGACUCCUACGGGAGGCAGCAGUGGGGAAUAUUGGACAAUGGGGGGAACCCUGAUCCAGCCAUGCCGCGUGUGUGAAGAAGGCCUUAUGGUUGUAAAGCACUUUAAGCGAGGAGGAGGCUACUGAGACUAAUACUCUUGGAUAGUGGACGUUACUCGCAGAAUAAGCACCGGCUAACUCUGUGCCAGCAGCCGCAGUAACAC